GAUGAACGCUAGCGGCAGGCCUAAUACAUACAAGUCGAGGGGCAGCACAGGGUAGCAAUACCUGGGUGGCGACCGGCAAACGGGUGCGGAACACGUACGCAACCUUCCUCCGAGAGGGGCAUAGCCCGGAGAAAUCCGGAUUAAUACCCCGUAAGAUUGUGGAUAGGCAUCUAUCAGCAAUAAAAACUACGGUGCUUGGAGAUGGGCGUGCGUCUGAUUAGGUAGUUGGUAAGGUAACGGCUUACCAAGCCGACGAUCAGUAACUGGCGUGAGAGCGCGACCAGUCACACGGGCACUGAGACACGGGCCCGACUCCUGCGGGAGGCAGCAGUAAGGAAUAUUGGUCAAUGGAGGGAACUCUGAACCAGCCAUGCCGCGUGGAGGAUGAAGGUCCUCUGGAUUGUAAACUUCUUUUAUCUGGGAAGAAACGGGUCUUAUCUAAGAUUUUUGACGGUACCAGAAGAAUAAGCACCGGCUAACUCCGUGCCAGCAGCCGCGGUAAUACGGAGGGUGCAAGCGUUAUCCGGAUUCACUGGGUUUAAAGGGUGCGUAGGCGGAAUUGUAAGUCCGUGGUGAAAUCUCCGAGCUUAACUCGGAAACUGCCCUGGAUACUAUGAUUCUUGAAUAUUGUGGAGGUUAGCGGAAUAUGUCAUGUAGCGGUGAAAUGCAUAGAUAUGACAUAGAACACCAAUUGCGUAGGCAGCUGGCUACACAAAUAUUGACGCUGAGGCACGAAAGCGUGGGGAUCAAACAGGAUUAGAUACCCUGGUAGUCCACGCCCUAAACGAUGAUUACUCGACAUUUGCGAUACACAGUAAGUGUCUGAGCGAAAGCAUUAAGUAAUCCACCUGGGAAGUACGACCGCAAGGUUGAAACUCAAAUGAAUUGACGGGG
rnacentral:rRNA from 1 species